rnacentral:piRNA from 1 species
UCGAAUGGCAUGAGUGUCUCGAUGGGUUGG